CGCAAGUCUAUUACAGGCUGCAUCUUUCUUGAUUCUUCUCUUAUUUGUUGGAAAGCUAAAAACAAUCAACAGUAUCUCCGUCAUCUUCCGAAGUCGAGUGUGGGGCCUUGGCAACAACUACUCUAUACCAUUCGAAAUCAGCAGUACUAACAUCGAGUUCGAAUUUCUUUGUGCUUUGUGUUCUUGGCAAGUGACAUGAUAAUGGAUAUGUAUGAAUAAUUGGAACGUGUUGAACAAAUUCUGAUAAAUUGGAAAGUUUUGAGCAGUUCAUGCUUCUAUCCAUUGUAUUCUUUACAAUAAAAUCCGCUGCCAGAAGAUUCAUACGCAGAAAGAAUGGUGGUUAAAGAACAAAACAAGAUAUGAGAAGCUCCAGAGUUACAGUCACAAUCUUGCUGAUUUUCCAAAUAUAUUACAAGUAGAAAAAUUUAGC